AGUGAACGCUGGCGGUAGGCCUAACACAUGCAAGUCGAACGGCAGCACAGUAAGAGCUUGCUCUUACGGGUGGCGAGUGGCGGACGGGUGAGGAAUACAUCGGAAUCUACUUUUUCGUGGGGGAUAACGUAGGGAAACUUACGCUAAUACCGCAUACGACCUACGGGAGAAAGCAGUGGAUCUUCGGACCUUUCGCGAUUGAAUGAGCCGAUGUCGGAUUAGCUAGUUGGCGGGGUAAAGGCCCACCAAGGCGACGAUCCGUAGCUGGUCUGAGAGGAUGAUCAGCCACACUGGAACUGAGACACGGUCCAGACUCCUACGGGAGGCAGCAGUGGGGAAUAUUGGACAAUGGGCGCAAGCCUGAUCCAGCCAUACCGCGUGGGUGAAGAAGGCCUUCGGGUUGUAAAGCCCUUUUGUUGGGAAAGAAAAGCAGCAGGUUAAUCCCCCGCUGUUCUGACGGUACCCAAAGAAUAAGCACCGGCUAACUUCGUG
rnacentral:rRNA from 1 species